GCCCGGGUGGCUCAGUCGGUUGAGCGUCCGACUUCGGCUCGGGUCAUGAUCUCACCGUCUGCGGGUUCGAGCCCCGCGCCGGGCU